UUUUUUUUUUUUUUUUUAAUCAAUAGACUUCCCACUCCUAUUCUUCAAGAGAAAUCACCAUUUGAACUCCUUCACAACUCUCUUCCUGAUUAUGCUGAUCUCAAAGUAUUUGGUUCCCUUUGCUUUGCCUUGCUUAUACUCUUUCCGCUAACGGAACAAAAUUUGAUUCCAGGUCAAGGAAAUGUGUCUUUUUGGAUUACAAAUUUGGCACAAAAUGUUAUGUUCUGAUGAAUCUUACUUCUAGGGAAAUUUUUAUUUCCAGAAAUGUUCAAUUCCAUGAAUCAAUUUUUCUUUUUUUCUUCCCAACCAGUUCCUCCAUGUCCACAACUCCAUGAUAACUUUGAUAUAGACUACUCAUCAUCUAUUAAUGUUUUUGCAUCUUACUUUAAUUCUCUUGUUACCACAGUGUCUAAUCCACAGCCUGAUCUAAGAACCUCUACCAGGUCCAGAAGGCCUCCUACAUACCUCUAAGACUACCAUUGUAACCUUUCUUCAGCUACUGCCAAUCCAUCUUCAUCAAGUGUUAAAUAUCCUCUUUCUUCUGUUAUUUUUUAUACUAAUCUUCCUUCUUCUCAUUCCCAUUUCAUAUUCUCCAUUUCCACUACAAUUGAGCCUAAAUCUUACACUCAAGCUGUCAAACAUGAGAACCGGAGACAGGCCAUGGCUACUGAGAUUGCUGCUCUUCAACAGAAUAACACUUGUUCCCUAGUUGAUUUACCACCUGGUAAAGUCCCCAUUGGAUGCAAGUGGUUGUAUAAAAUCAAAUACAAAUCAGAUGGUAGUAUAGAGAGAUUUAAUGCUAGGCUUGUGGCAAAGGGUUAUACUCAAACUGAAGGGGUGGAUCAUUUCGAUACAUUCUCCUCAGUAGCAAAAAUGACUACCAUCAGACUUCUUUUGGCCUUAGCUUCUAUUCAUAAUUGGCAUUUGCAUCAGCUCGAUGUUAACAAUGCUUUCCUCCAUGGGGAUCUUAGUGAGAAGGUUUACAUGGUGCUACCUCCUGGUUUUAAGUCUUCUAAAUGAAAUCAAGUAUGUAAGCUGCAAGAGUCCUUGUAUGGACUCAAGCAAGUUAGCAGGCAAUGGUUUUCAAAGUUGUCCUAGGAACUUGUUAAGUGUGGUUAUGCACAAUCCAAGUCAAAUUACUCCUUAUUUGUUAACAAAAAUGGCACUUCUUUCACUGCAAUUCUUGUGUAUGUUGAUGAUGUCAUUCUUAUUGGAAAUGAAUUUCUUGAGAUUUUGAGAAUUAAACAGCUUCUUGAUGACUCUUUUAAGAUCAAGGGCUUGGGUACUUUGAAAUUUUUCCUGGUUUUAGAAAUAGCAAGAUCCAAAGUAGGAAUUUCUUUGUGCCAACACAAAUAUGCCUUGGAAAUUCUCAUUGACACUAGAUAUCUUUCUGCUAAGCCUGCUUCUACUCCAAUGGACACACACCUCAAACUUGGUGUUAACACUGGAGAUCCAUUAUCAGACUCUUCUUCUUAUAGAAGACUUGCGGGAAGACUUCUUUAUUUGACUAUAACGAGGCCAGAUAUUUCUUUUCCUAUGCAACAAUUAAGUCAGUUUCUUGCCAAGCCUGCUAACGUUCAUCAACAAGCUCUACAUGGAGUGCUUCACUAUAUCAAGCAUUCUCCUGGCAGAGGCCUUUUCUUUCCAUCAUCCUCUACUAUCCAGCUCAAGGCCUUUAGUGAUUCUAACUGAUCUGGUUGCAUUGACACCCGCAGAUCUAUCACUGGUUAUAGCAUUUAUCUUGGUGAGUCAUUGAUUAACCGGAAAUCCAAGAAACAUAGUAUUGUUUCUAAAUCAAGCUCUGAAGCUGAGUAUUGGGCACUUGCUGCUACUAUUGUGAGCUAAAAUGGAUUGUUUAUUUACUUGAUGAUCUUCAAAUUUCACACAAGUUACCAGCUAAUGUUUACUGUGAUAACCAGUCAGCCUUACAUAUUGCUACUAAUCCAACUUUUCAUGAACGAACAAAACAUAUUGAGCUUGAUUGUCAUAUUGUCCGUGAGAAAGUUCAAUCUGGCCUCAUUUAUUUGCUUCUCGUUGCUUCCACUUCUCAAUUGGCAGAUAUCUACGCUAAGGCCCUUGCUGUUUCACCUUUUCAAACUUUAGUUGCCAAGUUGGGAAUGAUAGACAUACAUUCUUCAACUUGUGUGGGGGUAUUAACUGCUGUAAAAGCAGAUAGUUAAAUUAU
rnacentral:misc_RNA from 1 species